ACGGAAGGCAGCAGUGAGGAAUAUUGGUCAAUGGGCGGAAGCCUGAACCAGCCAUGCCGCGUGCAGGAAUAAGGCCCUAUGGGUCGUAAACUGCUUCUGUGGUGGAGCAAUAAGUCCUACGCGUAGGGCGAUGAGAGUACAUCACGAAUAAGCAACGGCUAACUACGUGCCAGCAGCCGCGGUAAUACGUAGGUUGCAAGCGUUGUCCGGAUUUACUGGGUGUAAAGGGCGUGUAGGCGGAGCUGCAAGUCAGAUGUGAAAUCCCGGGGCUUAACCCCGGAACUGCAUUUGAAACUGUAGCCCUUGAGUAUCGGAGAGGCAAGCGGAAUUCCUAGUGUAGCGGUGAAAUGCGUAGAUAUUAGGAGGAACACCAGUGGCGAAGGCGGCUUGCUGGACGACAACUGACGCUGAGGCGCGAAAGCGUGGGGAGCAAACAGGAUUAGAUACCCUGGUA
rnacentral:rRNA from 1 species